rnacentral:rRNA from 1 species
UACGGGGGGGGCAAGCGUUGUUCGGAUUUACUGGGCGUAAAGGGUUCGUAGGUGGCCAACUAAGUCGGAGGUGAAAUCCCUCAGCUUAACUGGGGAACUGCGUCCGAUACUGGAUGGCUUGAGUUUGGGAGAGGGAUGCGGAAUUCCAGGUGUAGCGGUGAAAUGCGUAGAUAUCUGGAGGAACACCGGUGGCGAAGGCGGCAUCCUGGACCAACACUGACACUGAGGAGCGAAAGCCAGGGGAGCAAACGGG